AUUGAACGCUGGCGGCAGGCCUAACACAUGCAAGUCGAACGAGUGGCGGACGGGUGAGUAAGGUCUGGGAAACUGCCUGAUGGAGGGGGAUAACUACUGUAAACGGUGGCUACUACUGCUUACAGCCGGAUGGGCCCAGAUGGGAUUAGCUAGUAGGUGGGGUAAAGGCUCAACUAGGCGACGAUCCCUAGCUGGUCUGAGAGGAUGACCGGCCAAACUGGAACUGAGACACGGUCCAGACUCCGACGGGAGGCAGCAGUAGGGAAUAUUGCACAAUGGGCGCAAGCCUGAUGCAGCCAUGCCGCGUGUAUGAAGAAGGCCUUCGGGUUGUAAAGUGCUUUCAGCGGGGAGGCGGUACCCGAAGAAGAAGCACCGGCUAACUCCGUGCCAGCAGCCGCGGUAAUAC
rnacentral:rRNA from 1 species